rnacentral:siRNA from 1 species
CCUGAAGGGAUUACAGUUUUCAGC